AAUCAUAAAAAUUAUGCCACCGGCCACCCUCUUCACCCCCACAGUACCCCCUUCACACCCCAAACACAAAUAUACAAGCCUCGUUCCUCGAAUCAAACUGAGUCUUCUCGAAUCUUUAUUUGAAGAUUUGAGCUAAAACUCGAUUUACACCAAACCAUCCCAAACUCAUACCUAGCACUCUCCUGAUCUUCCUUAGGCCUAAACCAACUUUGGUUUGGUUCAAAUCUACCCAGAAAACCUCUAAAACACCCGUAUGAACCCUAGAAAUCCAAAAUGGGGGUUUCUGUCUAAUUCGAUGAGAGAUUAAGGUCUAUUCGACCAAGAACAUCCUGAUUAAGGUCCAUUCGACCUAAAGUCGUCGAAUCCGGUCGAGUCCAGUUCGUUUGUGCAUGAGCUUAAAGAUAAGUGUUCCUUCUUUUUUCUAUUUUUUUCUCAUUCGUAUUAUGUGUUGCAUUUGUUUGCUUGUUAAGUUUACUGGCAUGAUUUUUUUUCCUUCUUUUUCUGUUCAUCUCCGUAAAGACCUUUAUUUGGUCAUUUGUUCUGUUUGUUUGUUAUUGUUGUGAGUUUCGUGUUCCAAUUUGUUAGAUAGUUUAGUUCAUUUUAGUCCUUUGUUGAAACCACCUAAAAAUCCAGAACCUAACAGUUACACCUUGUUGUUAAUUGAUUAAUUGCUAUUCAGUAUAGUUCAUUUAGUCGAUUAAAUGAAGGUCGUCAUUUGAAUUCACUGAAAAGAAUUAGAAGAAGCAUGAUUGUUCAUCUUUGCUUAAUUACCAGUGUGCCUCGUCUUGCAUCAAUAUGCCUUUAUUCAGUGUUGUUCUACUUAGCCUAUAAUAUAUUAGCUUGUAAUUGGUUUGGAGCUUGGUCAGGUUUGGUUUACCAAACUGACCAACUCACUCCACCAAACUUUUGCACCUUUCUGCCUUAAUUGUUUGAAUUUAGGAAAUUGAAUUGAUUAUAGCUGCUUAAUCAGAAUUUAAUCUUGUUGAUUAGUCUUGAACAUAUUUUAGAAUUUGUCCUGUGGUUUAGGGCAGUAAUAUCAGGGGAAUUACAGGGGUAAUUUGGGGAGUUCAAAGUUAAAAAAUGGUUUGGCUGAGUAUUCUGUCCAGUAGGCCCCAAUAUGUUCUAAUUUGAACUAAUUGAUAGGGGGACCACUAAGGAAUGAAAGAUGUUUUUUGCUUAUUGGAAAUUAGCAACGGUAGGUAAUAAUAAAAGGCUAAAAUAUACAGAUAGUUAGAAGAAUAUAGAGCCAGAAAGUAAGAAAUAAGUAGAGGGUAAUAAUAUAUGGGCAAUGGUAAAAGUAAAGAAAAGGGGGCUGAAAAGGGUCUACCUUUUGUAUAAAAAAGGGGUCAUUUGGGACUAGAGGGGGGGUGGGGAAUUUAUUGAACAUAAAAAGUCGAGUUUAAUAGUGAAUUGAAGCUCAAAUUUUGAAUACAAAUUUUUUUUUUAGAUUUUUGAGUUGAAAAAGAGAGCUGGUUGUGAGUCAUCAGUUUUUGUGUGUUCAGUCUAGAGGGUCUAAGAGCUAGAUAGUUUGUUGUUCUUUUAUGACUGGAAAUCAGAAAAGAGUGAAGUUCGUGAGAGUCUUUCUUCUUUAAGAGUUUAAAGAACAUACUUUUUCAUUGCAUCUCUUGGCCGAGCUUGUCUUACUUGUUAUUUGUUGUUGGUAUUUCUGAGUAUCAAUUGGUUUUCUUAAGUUAUUCCUAGGUUGUAUUCUGCAUCUUCUGGUGUGGCAUUGGUUUUUGCUUAAGCUACUGGUCACAUCACUGCUGCUUUGUUGUGCUACUACUGUUAUACUGUUGCUGCUGAUCUUCCAUUUCUCCCGUUGUAAACACUUCCAGGUACACAGCUUGAUCUCGGCACUUGCAUGCUGAAAUGUGAAAGAAGAUUCAAAGAAAAUAUUUGAAGCAUGAGAUUUGAGUGUUUCCAAUUCCUGAAUUAUGUAUUCAGUGCUUCGUUUAUGGAGGUGGUUUAAGUCCCUGCUUGUUUUGUAUUAGAUGGACUUUUUUUUAGGAUUCUGAUUCAAUGAGUUUGUUUCUCAAGUAUAAUUUAGCUCUUUAGUUGUUGCAACUAAUUUGGUGUUAGUAAUCCGUGUUAAGUCAUUGUCAGUCUCAUGAUAGAUUCUUCCGUAAGUCUGUUUUAAAAUGAUGCGUAUUGAUGUGAAAACAUCAAGUUCAAAAGUAAAUGGUUGAUUGAGUUUUCAUAUUAGUCGGAAAACAAUCUGGGCGUUAUCGUUUAAUUAGGAUAUUAGGAUGGAAUUUGAAUUCUAGUAAUCUUAUUCACACGUUAUAAAAUUACAUUCUAGUUCAAAUGGUUUAAAAUAAGAUGAGUCUAGAAACUGAGAUUUUAAUUUUUCUAUUGGAUUGUGUAUGAGAUUCUUGACUAAAAGAAGGAGAAACCAUAUUUUCACCAAAAAAAAAUUCACAUGAAGCUCUUGUAAUCAUUUGGAUGCAUGCCUUCUUUUUAUUGAAAGGAAUUGUAGGCUUUGUUGGAAUCAGCAAAUUUUGUUACUUGUUUGGACUCUUAACAGACUUCUAACGUUCAUGGAUCCAAAUGUAGUGACUCUUAAAUAAUAUUAAUGAGGACCUCUUUCUUUAUUUUAGAGACGGACAAAAAAUAAAAAAAUAUAGUUCGCUUUAGGAUAGCUUUAAAUAAAAAUGAGGUGAGCCUCGCUAGAUAAAACCACAAAUUGCGAGGCCCUCAAUAAAUGUAUACUAAAAUACUUAGAUUCCGGGACGGAUCGUUUAGGAAAUUUUACGGUCUUUCCUAAAAUAAUAAUGCGUUAGAUUCUUUAGGCACGUAUUUUAAUAACAUUACCUCCCUAAACUCGGGUGCAUAUUUAUGUGACCCAAAUCCAAAUCUCAACGAAAACGAAAUGUGUUAACAACCACGGGUGUAUUGAUUGCGACAUGGUUCGAAACGCGUUUUCACGGCGUUGCAAUUCUAUUAAAAAUAAUAAUAAUGACGAUUUAAAGUUAAUAAAAGCACAUAAGUUAUAACAUGUAUUAAAAUCAGAUAUUUAGCCCUUUACAACAGUUUAAGCGACCAUGCUAGAACCACGGGAUUCGGGGGUGCCUAACACCUUCGGGUCAACAGAAUUCCUUACAUAGAAUUUCUGGUCCGCAGACUUCAUUUGGAAAGUCAAAUAUUUUCCUCGAAUUGGGAUUCAAGAUAAACCGGUGACUUAGGACACAAAAGUCAAACUUAUCCUAAGUGGCAACUCUAAAUAAAUAAAAUAAUCCCAUUUCAAUUAUCGUCACUUAAAUUGAAAAAACUCCCUUGUACAUCUAUCCUUUGGGGUAGGCCCGCAAAAAAAGAGGUGUUACAUCUUCGCCAUAGGAGGUAAAAUUUUCCAUAUUAUCUAUAUAUUAUUAAAAGGAGAGGCUAAAGCUCUCUCCUUAAGCCAAGUGACAUCCUAAAAAAAGGACACAUGGCAGUUAGUUACUAAUUAUUUAUUUAGUUAUUGACUAUUAAUAAUUAUCAAAAUUAACUACUCAAACAUGGGUAAGGGUUAGUUUAGGGUAGUUAAUUUCUUUAUUUUACUUUUUAAAAUUAUUUUCGUUUUUAUAUAUUUUGAAAUAAAAAGUGUAUUUAUUCAUUAAAAUAAAAACAAUAUUAUUUAGAAAAUAUAAUAAAUUUAUUUUUAAAAAAUAUUUUCAAGAGUAAUAAAAUGUGUAUCUUCUGGUAUAUUACUAAAGAAAUUAGCAGAUAAAAAUAUUAAACAAGUAAUAUGAUAAUAAUUUGUAUGAACAAUAUAAUUGUACUAAAUAUUGGAUAUUAUAAUAAACAAAAUACAUAACAAAAAAGUUAUUUGAUAACUAUAUAAGUCCAUUUAAUUUAAUAGAGAUUAUUCAUUAAAAUUCAGACAAUAUCUACUCCUAUUUAUAUAGAAUAUGAGAAGCAAAUCAUUGUGAUGAUUCCAAAUAUAACAUCAAAAAAUAAACAAAGUGUCAAAAUGUACGACAAAACUCCAAUAAAUUUGGAGAUUCAAAAAUUAUGUACAAAAAAAUAAUAAAAACAACAAAAUUAACUGCCUAAAAUUAACUAUUCAAACACUGAUUCCAAAUGUAACAUCAAAAAAUUAACAAAGUGUCAAAUUUUAGGACAAAAGUCCAAUAAAUUUGGAGAUUCAGAAAUUAAUAUAAAAAAAUGAUAAAAACAACAAAAUUAAUUGCCUAAAAUUAACAAAAUUAAUUUCCUAAAAUUAGCUACUCAAACAUGGGUGAUAUAAUAAAGAUAAAUACAUAACAAAAAUUUUAUUCGAUGAUAUAAUAAAGAAAAAUACAUAACAAAAAAAUUACUCGAUGUUGUAUAAGUCCCUUUAGUUUAAUAGAGAUUUUAUUCAUUAAAAUUUAGAUAAUAUUAUUGAGAACAACAGAAUAAAAUUUAACAUAAAAACUAUUUCAAUAGUAAUAAAUUAUAUAUCUUCUCUUAUGUUAUCAAAAAAAAAAAAAGCGAGCACAUGAAAAUAUUAAACAACGUAAUAUAUUAAUAAAAAUUUCUGUUCACAUGUAAUAAUACUAAACAUUGGAUAAUAUAAUAAAGAAAAAUAUAUAACAAAAAAGUUAUUCACAGACUAUAUAAGUACCUUUAGUUUAAUAGAGAUUUAUUAUUGGGUAUAUCGUAUUGACAAAUAAGAUGACAAUAAAAAUUUAUUAAAGCAAUAAGAUCUAAUAGGACCAAACAAGUCCGAUCACAAUUUAAUUUAGUUAAUAUUUUUUAAAAAUUCAUCGCGAAUCGCGCGGAUACGACUACUAGUAACUAGGUAAAAAUCCCCAAGUUAACGAUGUAAUCGGGUCCAAGGCCCAACAAUAUAUUGGAUAUAGAUACAUACUCUUCAAGUGCAUUUUAGACUAAAUUGAUAUAUUAAAAAAAAAUACACAAAACUUGAUCAAAUAGUCCCUCUGAGUAAGCCUAUCCGUUAGAAUUUCCUUUUUGGUUGUAGAUUCAAAUAGCUAGCGCUAGCCCAUCCCAAAUUUCAAGUAUUUAGUAAUUAUUAUUUGGGAUUUUUUUUAUCUAUACCAUAUAGCAAACUUUAUUACCAAAAAUAUUCAUAAUAUUGUAUUUACCCGUCUAAUCCAUACUUUAUCUACAAAAUCUAUACCAAACCAAAAAUAGGUGAAUUCUACCCUAAGAACGCGCCAAAAUAGACGGAAUCAGAUUUGAUGGUGAUUCUAUCACCAUUAAUUUCGAGAUUUAAAACAGAAGCAAAUCCAUUGUAGCGUAUUCUCUCAUUGUGUAUCGGAAAUAGAUCUCUCAUCUGUAACUUAGCUACAAUUCAAAAACUCCAGCAAUCAAAUUGUAGAAAUUCAAAAUUUUUGAAUAUAGUUCCACGCUACAAAAUCUCCAGCAAUCAAAUUAUAGAAAUUUUAAAUUGUUGAACACUGAAUCUGGCUACAACAUCUCCAGCAAUCAAAUUUUAGAAAUUCAAAAUUGUUUAAUACAGUUCUUCAUCGACAUCAGUAAAAAAUUCUCGAAUCUAUAUAUGUUCUUCAUCUGUUUUUCUAUCAACUACAUGAAAUUAUGUCAAAAUUUCAAUAAUGCUGAAAUCGAAUGGUAAUUGGGAUACCUAUGGCAGAUUUAGAUAUUUUGAAGUUGAUGCCAUUUUGGUAGAUGAUAAUGCAAGCUACGAAAUUCUCAUUUCUACAANNNNNNNNNNNNNNNNNNNNNNNNNNNNNNNNNNNNNNNNNNNNNNNNNNNNNNNNNNNNNNNNNNNNNNGAACAAUUAUCGAUUGAUACAUCGGAUAAAAUUGUAGAAAUAAAAUACAUUGUGAACGAGAAUUGUCCUCCAUUGGAGAUUAGGAAUGAUAUGGGGGUUAGUGUAUAUAUGAAAACGAAAAAGAGAACAAAAACUUAGGUUCGUAUCCCUUAUGUAUUAGCGUAAGAGAUUUCAAUAUGGAAUGGCAAUCACCAAUAAAAACAUCAGUACAGGUAUGUUUGAUUCGACAUUGCUGAGAGUUAUUGUGUUACCUAGUUAUGUGUUACCUAGUUAUCUACAAUAUAACGACAUUUGUCUACAUUUAAACUACAAUUAUCAUAUAGUACUGGAAAGGAAAAAGCGAUGUUGCUUUCAAGUUUACCUACAUAGUUACUACAUUUGUGAAUUUAUUGACUGCAGGUUCUUCAGGAUCCCUAAGGUUACUAGAAAUUCCAUCCUCACCAGCUAUAGAGGAAUAUAGAAGUGUUUAUUGUCUGCAGGUUCUUCAGGAUCCCUAUGGUUACUAGAAAUUCCAUCCUCACCAGCUAUAGAGGAAUAUCAAAGUUAAAUAAUAAUUGAAUGUACGCAAACAUGAAUUGAAGAAGGACAAGUGUAUCAGGACAAGAAAACACUAGCUGCUGCAAUGAAGAAUUAUUCAGUGACGCACAAGUUUCAGUUCAGAGUAAAA
rnacentral:lncRNA from 1 species